rnacentral:rRNA from 1 species
AGCGAACGCUGGCGGCGUGCUUAACACAUGCAAGUCGAGGGAGAACGGAGGGCUUCGGCCUUCCUAGUAAACCGGCGCACGGGUGAGUAACACGUAGGUAACCUACCCCCGAGCUCGGGAUAACCUGUCGAAAGAUAGGCUAAUACCGGAUGAGACCACGUUGGUUUCGGCCAAUGCGGUCAAAGAUGGCCUCUAUUUAUACGCUAUCACUCGAGGAUGGGCCUGCGCACCAUUAGCUAGUUGGUGAGGUAACGGCUCACCAAGGCUACGAUGGUUAGUUGGUCUGAGAGGAUGACCAGCCACACUGGGACUGAGACACGGCCCAGACUCCGUACGGGAGGCAGCAGUGGGGGAAUAUUGCGCAAGUGGGGAAACCCUGACGCAGCGACGCCGCGUGGGGUGAU